GACCAGACUCCUACGGGAGGCAGCAGUGGGGAAUAUUGCACAAUGGGGGAAACCCUGAUGCAGCGACGCCGCGUGAGUGAAGAAGUAUUUCGGUAUGUAAAGCUCUAUCAGCAGGGAAGAAAAUGACGGUACCUGACUAAGAAGCCCCGGCUAACUACGUGCCAGCAGCCGCGGUAAUACGUAGGGGGCAAGCGUUAUCCGGAUUUACUGGGUGUAAAGGGAGCGUAGACGGCAUGGCAAGUCAGAUGUGAAAGCCCGGGGCUCAACCCCGGGACUGCAUUUGAAACUGUCAGGCUGGAGUGCAGGAGAGGUAAGUGGAAUUCCUAGUGUAGCGGUGAAAUGCGUAGAUAUUAGGAGGAACACCAGUGGCGAAGGCGGCUUACUGGACUGUAACUGACGUUGAGGCUCGAAAGCGUGGGGAGCAAACAGGAUUAGAUACCCCUGUAG
rnacentral:rRNA from 1 species